CGGGAACUGCCCGGUACGAGCCUUUGCAAUUAUCCCUGAGGCUAUUCAUCAUCCAUGGGGGCUGUCCCUGUGCGGAUCCUGGUCCGCGGCAUAUGGUCCCCACCUGACGUUAACGGGCGUCGGAGGAUAUUCUGGCAAACGGCCAUGGCGGUCCCGCC
rnacentral:sRNA from 1 species